rnacentral:tRNA from 1 species
GGGGAUGUAGCUCAGUUGGCUAGAGCGCUUGACUGGCAGUCAAGAGGUCGUGGGUUCGACUCCCAUCUUCUCCACCA